rnacentral:rRNA from 1 species
GACGAACGCUGGCGGCGUGCUUAACACAUGCAAGUCGAACGGAAAGGCCCUGCUUUUGUGGGGUGCUCGAGUGGCGAACGGGUGAGUAACACGUGAGUAACCUGCCCUUGACUUUGGGAUAACUUCAGGCAACUGGGGCUAAUACCGGAUAGGAGCUCCUGCUGCAUGGUGGGGGUUGGAAAGUUUCGGCGGUUGGGGAUGGACUCGCGGCUUAUCAGCUUGUUGGUGGGGUAGUGGCUUACCAAGGCUUUGACGGGUAGCCGGCCUGAGAGGGGGGCCGGCCACAUUGGGACGGAGCUACGGCCCAGACUCAUACGGGAGGCAGCAGUGGGGAAUAUUGCACAAUGGGCGGAAGCCUGAUGCGGCAACGCCGCGUGCGGGAUGACGGCCUUCGGGUUGUAUACCGCUUUCGCCUGUGACGAAGCGUGAGUGACGGUAAUGGGUAAAGAAGCACCGGCUAACUACGUG